rnacentral:rRNA from 1 species
AGAGUUUGAUCCUGGCUCAGAUUGAACGCUGGCGGCAUGCUUUACACAUGCAAGUCGAACGGCAGCGCGGGGCAACCUGGCGGCGAGUGGCGAACGGGUGAGUAAUAUAUCGGAACGUACCCAAGAGUGGGGGAUAACGUAGCGAAAGUUACGCUAAUACCGCAUACGAUCUAUGGAUGAAAGUGGGGGAUCGCAAGACCUCAUGCUCCUGGAGCGGCCGAUAUCUGAUUAGCUAGUUGGUGAGGUAAAGGCUCACCAAGGCGACGAUCAGUAGCUGGUCUGAGAGGACGACCAGCCACACUGGAACUGAGACACGGUCCAGACUCCUACGGGAGGCAGCAGUGGGGAAUUUUGGACAAUGGGCGCAAGCCUGAUCCAGCAAUGCCGCGUGAGUGAAGAAGGCCUUCGGGUUGUAAAGCUCUUUUGUCAGGGAAGAAACGGUUGGGGCUAAUAUCCCCGGCUAAUGACGGUACCUGAAGAAUAAGCACCGGCUAACUACGUGCCAGCAGCCGCGGUAAUACGUAGGGUGCAAGCGUUAAUCGGAAUUACUGGGCGUAAAGCGUGCGCAGGCGGUUNUGUAAGUCUGUCGUGAAAGCCCCGGG